rnacentral:lncRNA from 1 species
AAAAUGGUAACACUAGAUUAGGACUGGCAGCAUUUGAUUGUAAAUCCUAGCCGAAGAGACCAAGUUUUGUUGAGAGUAGUGAGCAUUUCUAGCACCUGUUUCCACACUUCUAGUCAUUCUUCCGCUUUUCUCAUCCUCAGCCCUCUGAAACUGUGAGAUCACCAACACUUGGGGUCAAAGUCUAUUAACAUUUUUCAGUUCUCAUCCUGUUAUACUAGUCUGUAGUAUUUUACACUGUUGACCCCUCUCCUCUUUUUACAACCCCCUUGCCUAGGCUUCCACAUUCUUUUUGUUUUUCUUUCAUCUCUACAGCUACUCAUUGGUAUCUUUAUGGGCCCAGCAUGCUUCUGCUGCACCACUCUGCUGCCUAGCUACUGAUAGAUAUCUUUAGAACCAUUCUUAGGCCUUAUUACAUCUAGAGGGCAGUUUAGUAGGUCUAAGGUUGCUUCCACCUAGGGAAAGUGCAAAGCAUGUUAAGUGUUUUAUUCAUAUGACUUAAAUUGCUGUUACACAGUCCAAGUAAACCACAUCGAAAGGAGACUGAAACUACUUGGAUGAAUACAAUGGAAUCCUGUGGAAUGGCACCCCAAACCAAGAUGGUGGCAGAGAGCUGACAAUUGGAUUAUUUGCAUAUCCUUUGUGUGGUCAUCCUAGCAUCUCAGGAUCAGGAAAGAUGAAGAGGAGGGAGGGGAAAGGAAAAAUUUCCACUUAAAGUAGAGCUUGCCUAGGAGACAUCAACUGACUCUUGUAUUUUAACAGCACAGGCUGAAGCUGAUAAGGGUCUUUAAGCCUCAGUAACCUUAGACAGGCACCUUCCUCACUGGACCUAACUGAAGAGACUUUCCUGACUAGUGAACAAUGGGAUAUUUAUUUUAUUUAACCAAUGGUGUAGAGACCUAUAUAUUCAUUCUGCCCCAUAUCCAGAGUGCCAGUUUCCAAUGCUUAAUUAGCAUAAGCCCCAUAAGCUCCCCACUUCUAACAUUUAAAAACCCCUGACUUUCCCUCCUCAGUGAAAUUCUUCAUGGAGUAAGUUCUCUUGCUUGGCAAGUUAAUAGACUCAGCUUUGUAAUUUUUUUUUUCUAGCUCUAACGGUAUUUGUUUUACUCAUGGACAGGUGAGAAGGACAAGGGUAGAGGAGUCUUCAAACACCCCACAGCCAGCCAUCUUGGGUGAAUUACUGCAGUUUUCGAAAGUUCUGGAGGCUAGAAGUUGAAGACUAAGGUGUUGGCAGGAUUGGUUUCAUCUCGAGGCAUCUCUCCUUGGCAUGCCGUCUUCUCCCUUUUACUUCACGUGGUCUUCCCUCUGUGCAUGCCUGAUUCCUAAUCUCCUCUUCUUAUGAGGACACCAGUCAUACUGGAUUAGGGCCCAACUGUAUGACCUCACUUUACCUCUUUAAAGAUCCUAUCUCCAAAUACAUUCUGAGGUAGUGUGGGAGUUAGGAUUUCAAUGUAUCAAUUUUGAGGAAACACAGUUCAGCCCAUAACAGAUCCCAGUAUCUUUUGAAUUAUAACUUCAAUUCUUAUAAACAGCAGAUUCAAGAAUAAAGUAUGUUUAAUCAAGGCACAAAUGGUAUUCUCGCCUACAGGACACUGAUAUUUCACACAGUAGUGCUGAGUUACUAUUUUGAUUUAACAGUGUAUGACUGUACAUUUGAUCAAUGUGAAUCUGCCCCUGAGGGGUUUUUCUACUCUCAGGGGUCUCAACAAAUCUGGAUUUUGAGUCUGCAGGGUCCCGUGCCUGACUUUCUCAAAGUCAUCAUUUGUCUCUUGUUUCACUUCCCAUUAGAAGAAUCCACUACCAAAAGUACUGUACUAGUCUAGGUUCCCCAAGCCUGCCAUAAACAAACAACACCAACACUCACCUGCUGCCACUCUAUGGGGAGUACUAUCUCUGAGAAACAGAAGUGAGGAAAAACAUGGAAGUGAGGCAGUAGGAGAAGGGAACACAAACACAGGUGUUAGUGAGCUUGUCAUAGCUUUGCAACAAGUGCAGUUAAUUGCUCGGUCUUUGAGGAUAUUUUCAUGAAGGUCUUAUGAAUUAUUGCACUUUAGAACAGCCUAUCUGGGGGAAAGGAAGGGAGAAUUUAUCUACUAGCUUCAUUUUGUGCUGUACCUCCUUGAUCAAAGUUCACUCCUUAAGUAGGGUUGCCAGAUUUAGAAAAAUUUUAAAAAGCCCAUGCUUAUAAUAAAAAGUAAUUUAUUGUUUGUCUGCAAUUCAAAUUUAACUGAGAGUCCUGUAUUUUACCUGACAAUCCUCCUCUCAGGAUAUUAGCACCUAAGCAUUUCCAGGCAGCAGCUGGGGAAGCCAGAACCUCCACAGACAGAUCUGGUGCACAGGCACAAAGGUCAGUUACUCCUUGUCAGUGGCACAGUGUACAGGACUCCUCAACAUAUAGCAGUGUGGUGGUGGUGGUAGUGGCAGCAGCAGCAGAAACUCUUUAGGACAACAGGGUAGCGCUAGGCCACUGGCCAGGAGGCAAGGCAUGAGGAAGAGGCAAGAGGAUGUAGGCAUGGCUGCAUGGAUGCGGGAUGAUAAAAAACAUAAUUUUCUGUAAAAAUGGGUAAUUAUUUAUUAUAAUAUCUCUUUAGUAUCCAUCAUAGAUCACAUUAUACUAGAUACUGGGGAUUUAGUAGUAAAUAAGACAAAAUUUCUGCUACGGGGAGUUUACAGAAUAGCUUGAAUAUUGUGUGUGUUCUGAUUUAAAGAUGCUUAAUGAAUGCUAGUAAAAUGAAAUAAUGUAAUAAAAUAAAUGUAAAUGGAGGUUUUUCUAAAUGACUAUUUUAGUAAAAACAAACAAAACCCCUCCAUAACUAUCACAUGUAUUGCUUUCUGGAUGCUUCUGAAAAGAAAUAACUCAGAAAAGUAUUAGAAGGCCUCCAUCAAAUACUAGAAUUAUUAUUUAAUGAGAAAAAAAUCCACGUGUAUACAACAUUUCAAAACAGAAGUUAAAUCAUUAAAUAGUACUUUUUAUUUAAAUGUUUAUAAGGCAGAUCUAUGAGAAUGAUAGAAAACAUGGUGUGUAAUUUGAUAGCAAUAUUUUGGAGAUUACAGAGUUUUAGUAAUUACCAAUUACACAGUUAAAAAGAAGAUAAUAUAUUCCAAGCAGAUACAAAAUAUCUAAUGAAAGAUCAAGGCAGGAAAAUGAGUAUAACUAAUUGACAAUGGAAAAUCAAUUUUAAUGUGAAUUGCACAUUAUCCUUUAAAAGCUUUCAAAAGAAAGAAUUAUUGCAGUCUAGUUAAUUCAGACAGUGUUAAAUGGUAUCAGGAUAAAGAACUGAAGGGCAGAAAGAAUUAAUUUUCACUUCAUGUAACACACCCAGAUUUACAAUGGCUUAAAUGCAGGAAAAAGCAGUGGAAGUAGGGAAGUAGUCAAGGUCUUUCUGGUCUCUAAUCUGCCUUACUCUUUGGGUGUGGCUUUGAUCCUCUGGAGACAGCUGCCAGGGCUCCUGUUAUAUCCACAAUCCCAGCAGCAAGAUGAAGGGAUGAAAAAGGACACAUGCUGCCUUCCUUUGAGGAGACUUCAUCUCACUGGCCAACACUCAGUCACAUGUACACCUAACUGCAAGGACAGCUGAGGAAUGUAAUGGGCAGCCGCUUUUAAAGAAGUAGAGUCAAUAGGAAGACAAAUUCCAGUUCCAGCUCAGUCUGGGUAUCUGCAAAGCUGCAAAAGAUCUUUAAAGACAAUUUCAAGAGAAUAUUUCCUUAAAGUUGGCAAUUUGGAGAUCAUACAAAAGCAUCUGCUUUUGUGAUUUAAUUUAGCUCAUCUGGCCACUGGAAGAAUCCAAACAGUCUGCCUUAAUUUUGGAUGAAUGCAUGAUGGAAAUUCAAUAAUUUAGAAAGUUAAAAAAAACUCAGUAUGUUAGGCUGAACAAAACAUUUUUUAGUAACAUAUGGAAAGAAUCUCUGAAAAUUAAGCACUGUAUAAUUUUCUCAUACUAAAAAAAAAGUGAAGAACCCAUUCAUUCAUGUAAAAUUCACUGUUUAAAGGUAAAAACAGAUUGAGUUUCCACUGAAAUUAUUACAGUUUCAUUUAGGGCUAAUCAUUUGUCCUGAAUGUACAUCAGAAUUUGUUUUACCCACUGAUGAACAAUUGAAGGUAGGGUGUCUCAUUUCACAAUAUAAAUCUUAACACUGUGAGGUGUGUUAUACUAUGUAUGUAUCUUGUUUUAAGUCAUGGAUUUACAAAAUAAUUUCAACACAUUUUAGGCUGUUUACGUAUUUCAAAACAGGGAUUUCAUAGACUGACACAGGAAUAAUUAGUUCAGUGUUCACAGUAUUCCUAAAUAAAUAUUUACUUAUUACAUUUAUGAUACUUUAUUUAAAAUACCACAUUAGAAACUUUAAAUAUUUCAUAAAUAAAUCUCUUUUUUGGGGGGAAACUGUACAGAAUUUAUUAUGAAAUAGCUUAAUGGCAAGUGGUAAUUUAGAAGAAUUAAGUUAUCAGAUAGGAGAUAUAUUAAAAUAUUUAAAAAUUGGAUAUAUUCUUGAAGCCCUUUUACACAAGUAAUUUCUAUAAUUUGAUUGUAAUGAAAGUAUAAUAUACCUUGUUACUAUUAUCAGAUUAAUUUUUGAAAGUAGAAUUCCUUAAUCAAGCCAAGGUUAUGCUGCUUUAUAAGAAAUUAAUCAGGUAGUUUAACACUAGAGCUCAUUAGCCAACCUGUAUGUAGCACAAAAUAAUCAUCUCUGAUAAAUACCUAUAAAUAUAUUUUAUUCAUACUUUUAAAUAUUUUACAAUUCAAAUAAAAACCUUAUAUGUAGACAAUCUGGGCUAAAUUUCCAUGUAUGUUUUGAAAAAUAAUGUUAGCAUGAAUAGAUUCAUAUUUAAAUAUGAUUUUAAAUACUCUUAAUAGAGGAGACAUAAGAAAUAUUUACAUAAAAGCUAAGUAGCAUGAUACAGCUCAUGGUUAUUUUCCUCAUAGGAAAACAAUUACUUGAUUUUUUUUUUUGCAUAGGAUUAAGACUGAGUAUCUUUUCUACAUUCUUUUAACUUUCUAAGGGGCACUUCUCAAAACACAGACCAGGUAGCAAAUCUCCACUGCUCUAAGGUUCUCACCACCACUUUCUCACACCUAGCAAUAGUAGAAUUCAGUCCUACUUCUGAGGCCAGAAGAAUGGUUCAGAAAAAUAAUGAUUAUAAAAAAUAACAAUUAAGAAAAAUAAUCACAUAGAGGUAAAAUAAAGCAACUAAACAUCAUAGUUUUGCAUUUUUAGAAAAGCAUUUAAACAUUUAGAAUUAUAGUAAAUAUAUUACAUUUAUUCUAAAACUUCAAAAUUAUUCUGUUUUUGUAGUACUGAAAAGAAGAUAGUGCCAUUUGAAACAACAGAUGCAUCUUUUAUACAUUUUCACAAGUUUGUUUUUCAUAUUUUUAAAGGCCCCAUUUAUCUGUAACAGUGGUAUUUUUAUUUAGAGUAUCGGCUAC